ACUCCUACGGGAGGCAGCAGUGGGGAAUAUUGGACAAUGGGGGCAACCCUGAUCCAGCAAUGCCGCGUGUGUGAAGAAGGCCUUCGGGUUGUAAAGCACUUUCGGUGGGGACAAACAAGGCGGAGCUAACAUCUCCGUCCCUGAUGGUACCCAAAGAAGAAGCACCGGCUAACUCUGUGCCAGCAGCCGCGGUAAUACAGAGGGUGCAAGCGCUAAUCGGAAUUACUGGGCGUAAAGGGUGCGUAGGUGGUUUGUUAAGUCAGGCGUGAAAUCCUCGGGCUCAACCUGGGAACUGCGCUUGAUACUGACUGACUCGAGUGUGGUAGAGGAUAGUGGAAUUCCCGGUGUAGCGGUGAAAUGCGUAGAUAUCGGGAGGAACAUCAGUGGCGAAGGCGGCUAUCUGGACUAACACUGACACUGAGGCACGAAAGCGUGGGUAGCAAACAGGAUUAGAUACCCUGGUAGUCCMCSCCCUAAACGAUGGGUACUAGACGUCGGGAAGCUUGUCUUCUUGGUGUCGCAGCUAACSCAAUAAGUACCCCSCCUGGGGAGUACGGUCGCAAGAUUAAAACUUAAAUGAAUUGACGG
rnacentral:rRNA from 1 species